UUUCUCUUUAUCAUAUUUAUAUGACUCAUCUUUGUCAAAAGGAAUUACCUUUCCAGUGUCCUUUAACUCUGAUUUAUCUCCAGAAGAAGGAGCAGGACAGACACUGGUUUUAAAAAUCGGGUUCAUUGUUUUUCUUGGGUAGGACUUGCUGGUUUUGAAACUUCUCCUUGUCUUCUUUCUGCUUUGAAGGUUGCUUUAUCUAUAUGAAUUCUACUAAAGAAAAAGGCCUUUGGAGGUGACUGUGCCCUGUCAGCUUGUGAUCAUGGGAGAACAUUUCAGCAGCUUUCAGACCUACUCUGUAAUGAUAAAAGCAUCCUUGGGAGUCAUCCCCCUGUAAAACUGGACAAACCCUUGAAGAGGAAGAAAAUGUUUUUGGCAGAUGAUCGAGUGUUGUAGUUGAAAACAUGCGUCGUGUUUCAGUAGUUGUGGCUGUCACGACAAACAACCCUCAGCACAGCGACAAGUUUACAAAAGAGGGGACCGACUUCUCGUUGGCAUAAUUGAUUAAUUUCCACCGAACCCAAACAUCAUCAGAGAGAGCCACACGGUUUUGUUAAGCUACUGGAAAUAACUUUUGCCUGGGAUUUACAGCAGGAUUCCCUCCCGGCCCGGCCCCUGCGGACUCCAGCAGGCUCACUGCCUAACAGGUUUGCAAAGGUUUUUUUUCUUGUAUAUCCUCUUUUCUCUCCAGAGCCAUGCGAUCACUGUAACUUCAGUUUAAUCAAAAACACUUUCUGUCUUAAUUCUCCCAGUUAUGAAGACUCGUCGAUGCGUUUCAUGUGACCUUUGGGCAGACCGUGGAGCUUUCUAUUUUAUUUUGUGGGGCCUUGAGUCAGGAUCUUCUUAACGUGUGCUUGGAAGUGGUCAUACCGGAACUGGGGCGCGCACAGAAAUAGUGCGAGAGAAACCAGAUACGCCGUAACUUUCUGCCUGAUACCUGUUGGGCUUCGUGUCUAAACUUUGGCAGUGUUUGGGGGCCUUUUUAUUUCCUGGGAACUUCCAGCCAUGAAGAGGAGCUCUGUGCUUUAUUAAUUAUCUUUGAGAACUCUACUCGGAGUCAGACUAUGAGCAUGGAUUUCUGAGGGAAAAGUA
rnacentral:lncRNA from 1 species